rnacentral:rRNA from 1 species
UACGAAGGGGGCUAGCGGUGCUCGGAAUCACUGGGCGUAAAGCGCACGUAGGCGGCUUCUUAAGUCAGGGGUGAAAUCCUGGGGCUCAACCCGAGAACUGCCCUUGAUACUGGGAAGCUUGAGUCCGGGAGAGGCGAGUGGAACUCCGAGUGUAGAGGUGAAAUUCGGAGAUAUUCGCAGGAACACCAGUGGCGAAGGCGACGGACUGGCCCGUUACUGACGCUGAGGUGCCAAAGCGUGGGGAGCAAACAGG